rnacentral:rRNA from 1 species
CCUACGGGAGGCAGCAGUGGGGAAUAUUGCACAAUGGGCGCAAGCCUGAUGCAGCCAUGCCGCGUGUAUGAAGAAGGCCUUCGGGUUGUAAAGCUCUUUCGGAUGUGACGAUGAUGACGGUAGCAUCUAAAGAAGCCCCGGCUAACUUCGUGCCAGCAGCCGCGGUAAUACGAAGGGGGCAAGCGUUGUUCGGAAUUACUGGGCGUAAAGGGAGUGUAGGCGGUUUAGUAAGAUAGUGGUGAAAUCCCAGAGCUUAACUUUGGAAUUGCCAUUAUAACUAUUAGACUAGAAUUACAGAGAGGAUAGUGGAAUACCCAGUGUAGAGGUGAAAUUCGUAGAUAUUGGGUAGAACACCAGUGGCGAAGGCGACUAUCUGGCUGUACAUUGACGCUGAGGCUCGAAAGCAUGGGGAUCAAACAGGAUUAGAUACCCCAGUAGUC